rnacentral:misc_RNA from 1 species
GAUGAAGAACGCAGCGAGAUGCGAUAAGUAAUGUGAAUUGCAGAAUUCAGUGAAUCAUCGAAUCUUUGAACGCACAUUGCGCCCGCCAGUAUUCUGGCGGGCAUGCCUGUCUGAGCGUCAUUUCAACCCUCAUGCCCCUAGGGCGUGGUGUUGGGGAUCGGCCAAAGCCCGCGAGGGACGGCCGGCCCCUAAAUCUAGUGGCGGACCCGUCGUGGCCUCCUCUGCGAAGUAGUGAUAUUCCGCAUCGGAGAGCGACGAGCCCCUGCCGUUAAACCCCCAACUUUCCAAGGUUGACCUCAGAUCAGGUAGGAAUACCCGCUGAACUUAAGCAUAUCAAUAAGCGGAGGA